rnacentral:lncRNA from 1 species
UCAAGAAAAAGUUGGGUAUUGGUUCUUGGAAUAUUAAUGAUAUAUAGAAGAAUAUCCAUGUAUAUCUUUUCAAUGAAAAAUUUUAUAAAAAAAUAGAAUUUCUGGAUUAAUCGAAUAUUUCUUCUUUUUACUAUUUGCCAAAAUUUUUUUGCUGAUUCUACUAUUUUAUCCUGAUAAAAUUUUUUUGCUAAUUCUACUAUUUUAUCCUAAUAACUUAUUUUGUUAGAACUACUAUUUAUUUCUUGAGUUAGAAAUUCAUUUUUCUUCUAUUUUAUAAUUAGAAUUUUUUGUAUUUGAUUUCUGAUUGUGUUUGUUCUCUUAGUCAGAUCUU